rnacentral:rRNA from 1 species
AUUGAACGCUGGCGGCAGGCCUAACACAUGCAAGUCGAACGGUAGCACAGAGAGCUUGCUCUCGGGUGACGAGUGGCGGACGGGUGAGUAAUGUCUGGGAAACUGCCUGAUGGAGGGGGAUAACUACUGGAAACGGUAGCUAAUACCGCAUAACGUCGCAAGACCAAAGAGGGGGACCUUCGGGCCUCUUGCCAUCAGAUGUGCCCAGAUGGGAUUAGCUAGUAGGUGGGGUAACGGCUCACCUAGGCGACGAUCCCUAGCUGGUCUGAGAGGAUGACCAGCCACACUGGAACUGAGACACGGUCCAGACUCCUACGGGAGGCAGCAGUGGGGAAUAUUGCACAAUGGGCGCAAGCCUGAUGCAGCCAUGCCGCGUGUAUGAAGAAGGCCUUCGGGUUGUAAAGUACUUUCAGCGGGGAGGAAGGCGAUAAGGUUAAUAACCUUGUCGAUUGACGUUACCCGCAGAAGAAGCACCGGCUAACUACGUGCCAGCCGCCGCUGUAAGAC